rnacentral:rRNA from 1 species
CGGCGGACGGGUGAGUAACGCGUGGGUAACCUGCCUCGUACAGGGGGAUAACAGUUGGAAACGGCUGCUAAUACCGCAUAAGCGCACAGUACCGCAUGGUACGGCGUGAAAAACUCCGGUGGUAUGAGAUGGACCCGCGUCUGAUUAGGUAGUUGGUGGGGUAACGGCCUACCAAGCCGACGAUCAGUAGCCGACCUGAGAGGGUGACCGGCCACAUUGGGACUGAGACACGGCCCAA